UAUGUGUAGUCUUAUCUUCCUUUUCUAAAAUGUAUGUAUUGCCUUAUCUAUUUUCUGCCUUGUAUGUGCUGCCUUGUUUAGUUUCUACCUUGUAUAUGUUGUCUUAUCUAUUUUUUUACCUUGUAUGUGCUGCCUUGUCUAUUUUCUGACAACUUAAAUAUUACGAUUCUUCAAGGAUGAACACUCCAUUUGAGGAGGACCUCUUCUUCACCACUCGUUUACAAAGUGGAGGAGAAGGUUGUAAUAACACUCCAACAUACACACAACAUUCUAAUGUUGUGGUCCAAACAACCCCCAUUCACUGUGAAAAGAGGCCUCCGGCAAAAAAAGUUCAAAGAGUUGCAUCUUUCACUGUUGCGGAGGAUAACUUACUUGUCUCCGGUUGGCUCAACAUUAGCAUUGAUGCCAUACGGGAUACUGAUAAAAAAUCUACUCAAAUGUGGGAUAGAAUUUCUGAGUUUUAUCACGAGUAUAAAAAACCAAAUACUGUGAACUGUUCGGUAGGGUCAUUGAUCAAUCGUUGGUCCAUAAUCCAAAAAUGCACAAACAAGUUUUGCGCAUUUCUAGCGCAGAAAGAGUCAUUGCACCCAAGUGGUGCAACU